rnacentral:ncRNA from 1 species
AAUUUGUUUUAUUUAUGUUAAAAAAUUUGGUAUAAAAAAAUUUUACAUAUAAAAUUUUUUAAAAUUAAUAUUUAAAUUUUAAUAAUUUAAAUUUAAAUUAUAUUUAUUAAUUUUAAUUAGUAGUAAUUAAUAUUAAAAUUUUUAUAAAUGUAAAUUUUUAGUUAUUGUUGAUAUUAUUGAUAAAAUUUGUGCCAGCAAUCGCGGUUAUACAAAUAAUAAAAUUAAAUUAUUUUUAUUUAAUAGUUAAAAUUUAAAAUUUUAAGAUAAAAUUAUAUAAAAAUAAAUUUUUAGGUGAAAUUAAAAAUUUUAUUAAAAUUAUUUUAUAAAAAUUUUUUGAAGCUAAAAAAAUUUAUUAAUAAACUAGGAUUAGAUACCCUAUUAUUUAAAUAGUUAAUUAAUUUUUAAAUAGGUAGUAUUAAUUAAUUUUUUAAAACUUAAAAAAUUUGGCGGUAUUUUAUUCUUUUUAGAGGAACUUGUUAUGUAAUUGAUAAUCCACAAAUAUCUUACUUAAUUUUGUUUUCUGUUUAUAUAUCGUUGUCAGAAGAAUAUUUUAUUAGAAUUAUAAAAUUUCUUAAUAAAUUAUUUUUUAAAAUGUCAAAUCAAGGUAUAAUUUAUAAUUAAGGUAUAAAUGAGUUACAAUAAAUUUUAUUUAUUUAUGAAUAAUUUAUUUAAAAAUAAAUUUGAAGGAGGAUUUAAAAGUAAAAAUACUAAUAAAGGUUUUUUGGUUAAAGUUUUAAAAUAUGUACAUAUCGCCCGUCGCUCUCGUUAUAAUUUUUAUAAAUGAGAUAAGUCGUAACAUAGUAGAAAUACUGGAAAGUGUUUCUAGAAAUAC